CAGUCGCCGCGGGAAUACGUAGGGUGCAAGCGUUAAUCGGAAUUACUGGGCGUAAAGCGUGCGCAGGCGGUUUGUUAAGACAGAUGUGAAAUCCCCGGGCUCAACCUGGGAACUGCAUUUGUGACUGGCAAGCUAGAGUCUGGCAGAGGGGGGUGGAAUUCCGCGUGUAGCAGUGAAAUGCGUAGAUAUGCGGAGGAACACCGAUGGCGAAGGCAGCCCCCUGGGCCAACACUGACGCUCAUGCACGAAAGCGUGGGGAGCAAACAGGAUUAGAUACCCGGGUAGUCCCUGUCUCUUAUAA
rnacentral:rRNA from 1 species